rnacentral:rRNA from 1 species
CCCUUAGAUGUUCUGGGCCGCACACGCGCUACAAUGGCAAAGUCAACGAGCUAAUCCUAUGCUGACAAGCACAGGUAAUCUUUUCAGUCUUUGUCGUGAUGGGGAUAGACCCUUGUAAUUAUUGGUCUCCAACGAGGAAUUCCUAGUAAACGCAAGUCAUCAACUUGCAUUGAUUACGUCCCUGCCCUUUGUACACACCGCCCGUCACACCUACCGAUUGAAUGGUCCGGUGAAGUCUUCGGACCGAUGCUAACUCGUUGGCAACGGAAAGUCGAGUAAACCUUACCAUUUAGAGGAAGGUGAAGUCGUAACA